rnacentral:rRNA from 1 species
AGCGAACGCUAGCGGCGGGCCUAACACAUGCAAGUCGAGCGGGGGAGCAAUCCCCAGCGGCGGACGGGUGAGUAACACGUAGGUUAUGUGCCCUUUGGGUGGGGAAUAACCGUGGGAAACCAUGGCUAAUUCCGCAUAUCGAGCGAAAUCUUGAAAGCCUUCGGGCGCCAAAGGAGCAACCUGCGGCCCAUUAGCUUGUUGGUAGGGUAACGGCCUACCAAGGCGAUGAUGGGUAGCUGGUCUGAGAGGAUGAUCAGCCACACUGGAACUGAGACACGGUCCAGACUCCUACGGAGGCAGCAGUGGGAAUAUUGCGCAAUGGCGAAAGCUGACGCAGCCACGCCGCGUGAGUGAUGAAGGCCCUCGGUCGUAACGUACUA